rnacentral:tRNA from 1 species
AAGUAAGUACCUAAGCGGAUAAAAGGAAUAGAUUGUAGAUCUGUUGAUUAAAUUCUACAUCAGUUCGAAUCUGAUCUUACUUA